UACGUAGGUGGCAAGCGUUGUCCGGAUUUACUGGGCGUAAAGCGAACGCAGGCGGACUGUUAAGUAGGAAGUGAAAGGUUGGAGCUCAACUCUGACACUGCCAGUCCCUAUAGCUGGACAGUCUUGAGUACUGGAGAGGAAAGCGGAACGACACGUGUAGCGGUGAAAUGCGUUGAUAUGUGUCGGAACACCAAUGGCGAAAGCAGGCUUUCUGGACAGAGACUGACGCUGAGGUUCGAAAGCCAAGGAUAGCAAACAGG
rnacentral:rRNA from 1 species